rnacentral:rRNA from 1 species
AACGGAGGGUGCAAGCGUUGUUCGGAAUUACUGGGCGUAAAGAGCGUGUAGGCGGCUGAUCAAGUCGGGGGUGAAAGCCCGGGGCUUACCCCCGGAAGUGCGCUCGAAACUGGUCAGCUAGAGUAUGGGAGAGGGAAGUGGAAUUCCUGGUGUAGCGGUGAAAUGCGUGGAUAUCAGGAGGAACACCGGCGGCGAAGGCGGCUUCCUGGACCAAUACUGACGCUGAGACGCGAAAGCGUGGGGAGCAAACAGG